UAACGACAACAAUUUUCCCAUUCUUUGAAACGGGAAAGCUAACCCGUUUAAGGUAGUUGAUCUGUAUGAUGAGAGCGUUGUCUAAUACAUUUCGCUCUGUUAAGCACCCAAUUGCUAACCCUAAUUCGCCCAAAUUUUCUUCCCCAUCUUCAUCAUCCUCAUCAUCUCCUGUUUCGAAUUCACUUCCCGAAUUGAGGCUUAAUUCCAAAUCAUGCUCUUGGUGUGUUUAUCUCAUCAUUGCCACUAGUCCCCCCAUCAAAACCUAUGUUGGUGUCACGACUAAUUUCACUCGCCGGAGAGCAAAGAAUACAGGACUGGCAAAUUUAGUUAGCACUGAAGAGUGCAGGGCAUAUAAUCUGCAAUGCUGCCCUGUUGCCAAUGGAACCUGAGUACCAAGAUUAGCUAAUGUCAUUAUUUGAAGCAACAUAAUGGUGAAAUCAAAGGGGGUGCAAAAGCAUCCCGUGCCGGCAGGCCAUGGAUCUGUGCAUGCAUCAUUUGUGGUUUUACAGACAGAAGUGAAGCUUGUAUGUUUGAAUCAAAAUGGAAAGCUUCGUCAAGAAAAGUUCCCCGGAAAAGGGAAAAUAAGCAGAUUGAUGAUUCAUCACUUGCAUUGCUGCAGCAGAGACAGGAAGCUCUAAACAGAGUGAAAAGUUCACUUGAUUGCAAUCACUUGCAAAUCAACUGGCAUUUGAAUCCAUUGUGAUUCACCGUCCAAGAUUUUUAGUGACGUGCCUAACGAAUUAUUUAAUUGCAAUCUGUCCAAAUGCCAAGGACAAAGGACACGACUCCAAAUAUUUCAAGUGCAGUUGUACCAUAUAAAUUAAAGGGUUCUUGUAAACUAAAAAUAAAUAUCAUUUUCCCUCAUUUUUAUCUUGCUCCCAUUUUCUUUUUUUCCGACUUCUCUCCUUACCCAUAGAGCACUGUAAAGAGACAUGUUACUGCUAAAGAGACAGGAAGAUCGUGAAUUUACAA